ACUGUUUUACCUCCUCCCACGGUGCAUCAGGUAUCAGAGCGUCAUUUUAGCAGCGGGAACCUUGUCAUUAAGCCCCGGAGAGCAGCGGGAGGGGUGCGCGCAAGAUCGGCACUGAGCGUGGACACCUGUGAGGCACCUGAGUGAGUGAGCCGCAGUGCCAUGGGUCGCCUCGCCCUGCUCCUGCUGGCUCUGUGCCUUGUGACCGGAUCGUGCCAGAAUAGUGAGGGCAAGGACGAGGAUCUACUGGAUGGGUACAGAGAGGUGCGGGAGGAACUCAGGGAGAUCUUUGCCCGUGGUGUUGAUCCCGAGUCGCAGAGGCAGAAGGAUGCAUCGACUUCUUCUAGUCUGGGUACUGCACGGACAGAACGCCGGCGUCUGGUCAUCUCACAGGAGGAGCUACAGGAGGGAGUGAGUCUGGCCCGAAGAGCACACAGCCAUGGCCACCCUGGGGACGAACCGGCGCCGCUGUACCUUAACGAGUGGGUGGUGCACCUGACGGGCGGCCCUCACCUGGCCGCCACGGUGGCCAAGGACCUGGGAUAUCAUUUUCUUGGCCAGGUGGGCGGACUACAGGACGUGUAUCGCUUACUGAAGAAGAACCACCCGCCCAAACGCAAGAGAGCCGCCCAUGACCUUACACGCCACCUCAACGCUCACACCAAGGUGGUAUGGGCGGAGCAGCAAUUUUCAAAGGAGAGGACCAAGAGAUACGCCCCUGCACGCCCUUUCGAGGAGGUGGAGGCGGCGUGGGAGGAGCAGGAGAGGUCAGGGAGAAGCAAGAGGGACGGAAGGAAGUACUGGAAGUGGAAUAAGAUCAAGGAGAGCAGGAUGGAGGCAGCCUUGAGAAUGGAGCGUAUGUUUAAUGAUGAAAUUUGGAGUCAUCAGUGGUAUCUGUUUGAUACCAGGACGCGGGGGGACCUGCCGAAGCUGGACCUACAGGUGGUGGGGGCGUGGCAUCAGGGAUACACAGGCAAGGGCGUGAGGGUGCAGGUGCUGGAUGACGGGCUGGAGUGGACGCAUGAAGAUCUCAGAGGGAAUUAUGACCCAGAGAUAAGCACAGACUUGAACGGUAACAGCAGCACCCCUCAGCCACGAUACGAUACCAUGCUCUCCAACUCUCACGGGACGAGGUGCGCCGGGGAGAUAGCUAUGAUACCCAACAAUCGCAAGUGUGGGGUCGGGGUGGCUUACGGUGCGAAGAUUGGAGGUGUUCGCAUGUUAGACGGCCCUGUGAGUGACGUGGUGGAGGGGCUGUCGCUGGAGUAUGGCCUAGGGAAGGUGGAUGUAGUGAGCUGCUCUUGGGGUCCUAUUGAUGAUGGCAUGAGGGUGGAAGGUCCGGGUAGAAUAGCAGAGAUGGCACUCAAGAGGGGCAUUGAAGAGGGUCGGGACGGCAAGGGCACUAUCUACGUGUGGGCGGCAGGGAACGGUGGCUCUGCGUUUGAUAACUGCAACUGUGAUGGCUACACGUCCUCUGUGAACACUCUGACCAUUAGCAGCGCCACAGAGUCAGGCAGCUUCCCUUGGUACGGUGAACUCUGCACCUCCACCCUUGCUGCUGCUUACUCAUCCGGCGCCUACACUGACCAGAAGAUUGCCACGGUGGACCUCAACAAUACAUGCACAAUCAGGUUCUCCGGGACAUCAGCAGCCGCACCUCUUGCAGCUGGCAUCGUGGCGCUCACCCUUGAAGCUAACCCUAACAUGACAUGGCGGGACGUGCAGCACGCGGUGGUGUGGACCAGUGAGUGGUGGCCUCUCGCUAACAACUACGGCUGGCGGACUAACAAGCGAGGCCUCAAGAUUAACCCUCGUUUUGGCUUCGGCCUGCUCAACGCGGAGGGCAUGGUGAGACUUGCCCGAGACUGGAAGAACGUGCCAGAGCAGAAAAUUUGCACAGUGAAAGCCACCACGAAGUCUAGCAGAAGCUUACGCAGUGGCGAGUGGGUGGAGGCGAAGUUUGACGGCAAGGAGUGUGAGGAGGUGAGAGUGUUGGAGCACGUCCAGGUGGUGGCCAGCAUCCAGUACUCCCGGCGAGGUGCUCUCACUCUUACCCUCACCAGUCCGCAAGGAACCCCCGUGGAUCUUCUGACUGAGAGGUUCCUGGAUGAGUCGAAGAAAGGAUUCAUUAGGUGGCCCUUCACAUCUGUCCUGACCUGGGGCGAGAAUCCAAGAGGGACGUGGACUCUCAAUGUGUCUGAUAGCACGCAAGGCAGCCACAGUGGGUUUGUUGGUGAGCUGGAGCUGGUGCUGUACGGGACCACUGAGACGCCAGAGCACAUGAAAACGCAGAAAAAACGUGACUCUCCAACCGAGCGUCAGGAAGAGGAAGAGGAGGAAGAGGAAGAGGAGGAUUUACAAGAGGAGGAAGAAGAGGAAGAGGGCGCUGCCAAUCUCCGCACUCUUUCUUGGGAGCAAUUACUUACACUACUGACAAAGAGCACUCGAUCGUCUCCCUCCCGCGCUGCCCUUGAGUCACUACUGAAGGAGGGACGACGAGAGGACGCCUUGAAGAGCCUCCGGGCGCAGGGCAAGAAGCUACAGACGCACCAAGGCCAGCAGGAGUACGAGGUCAACAGGAGGAUUGUCAACGAGCUAAUGAAGAGAAGAUAACGGAGGUCUGAAACAUAUGCAGGAUUGAUAGUAAAGGAUGACGAGAGAGAGAGAGAGAGAGAGAGAGAGAGAGAGAGAGAGAGAGAGAGAGAGAGAGAGAGAGAGAGAGAGAGAGAGAGAGAGAGAGAGAGAGAGAGAGAGAGAGAGAGAGGGGGGAGAUCAGUGCUAUACAUAAGUGGGGUGUGACCUACAGACGCGAGCCUCUCCCAGCUUGGCGUGGCGGGAGGGAGGCCGGGGAGGGUGACACGGUGAGGUUGGCCCGCGGGUGUUACGCAAGGUAUAUAUAGACAUGGAGGCGGGACCUGAAUGGGGGAUGGGGGACGAGGCUCCCUACUUGGCGCCCACAUCAUGGCGGGGGUACAUGACUGUUUGCCAUAUACACCGGCGAUCUGCUAUGCAUGAUUUUGAUUUUCCCUCCCUUAUUGCUAAUUUAGUGCAUGGGAGAGGCCGGACGAGACCUUGAACCAGUUAGAACACGGCAGUACAUUGUGCAGGAAAGCUUUGGCAUCUCAUACACACCUCUCCAACUAUACCACACCAAAGGGAAGUGGCGAAGGUGUAAUUAAAUCUGACGAUGCUGUAACGUCUAUUAAUGCAAAAA